UUAAACUAGGAGGAAAUUUUCAGUUUGUUUUCAUAAAGAAGACCAAAAUAAUGAACAUACGUUCUUUCAGGAAAGAACUGCUGCACAAUAACUGGGAAAUACGUGUUUUUGGGUAGCUGAAGUCUUGUACUGGGCCUGUCCCACUGACCCCAUAGGAAUCCUACCAGUGCUCUGAAAGUCUGUGGAAUGUGACUGAGUGUUGUGGUGUCUUGGAUAUUCAUUUUUGCCCUUGGAUAAUAAAAAUAAGAUGGUUCUUGUUAUUAUUUCUGUCUUCAGGUUUUUGGUUCUCAUAUGUUUCCUGUCACACCCUUGAGGUAUCUAUUCUUGGGUUUGUUUUCAGCUGCCCAAAUAUAUCCUGAAAACGAAGCAAAAUCAGUUAACAUAAACCAUGCAAAAAAGCUUCAUAACCAUGAGUGGCUACUCUGAGUUGUUAUGAAGGAGAAGUUGGUGUACAUGUCAGAAUAAACAUAAUAAAUAAAAAAUCAUUCUUGGCCAUCAA